AUUGAACGCUGGCGGCAGGCCUAACACAUGCCAGUCGAACGGUAACAGGAAGAAGCUUGCUUCUUUGCUGACGAGUGGCGGACGGGUGAGUAAUGUCUGGGAAACUGCCUGAUGGAGGGGGAUAACUACUGGAAACGGUAGCUAAUACCGCAUAACGUCGCAAGACCAAAGAGGGGGACCUUCGGGCCUCUUGCCAUCGGAUGUGCCCAGAUGGGAUUAGCUAGUAGGUGGGGUAACGGCUCACCUAGGCGACGAUCCCUAGCUGGUCUGAGAGGAUGACCAGCCACAAUGGAACUGAGACACGGUCCAGAAUCCUACGGGAGGCAGCAGUGGGGAAUAUUGCACAAUGGGCGCAAGCCUGAUGAAGCCAUGCCGCGUGUAUGAAGAAGGCCUUCGGGUUGUAAAGUACUUUCAGCGGGGAGGAAGGGAGUAAAGUUAAUACCUUUGCUCAUUGACGUUACCCGCAGAAGAAGCACCGGCUAACUCCGUG
rnacentral:rRNA from 1 species